rnacentral:lncRNA from 1 species
CUUGGAAGCUGUGCCCACAUUAGUCUCCCUCUCCUGCCUCCAGGACAAGGACAAUGCGAGAAGACAGCUCUAUCAAGCAUGUGGGCUUCACCCUCAGGCUGAGUACCAUGAGGUCGAUGUCACCUGAGUUUCCAGGUAAUUAUGGCCUUCCUGCCCCAUCUGCCAAGAUAGUUUGCUACCUGCAUUCAGACUCACCUUCUUCUUGGGACUGACAGCUUCACAAGCCCUUUCCACAGGAUAAACAUAUCAUGUAUCAAAGACCUGUUCCCUGAAAAAAAUAGGAACUAAGACAAGCUGUCUGAAGUCAACCUGCUAUGAUUCAUCAGGGUGCCAUGGAUUAACAGCAACUGUUUUCAUGAGGGGUAGGAUUAUUGCAUGACUGGCUAGGCAAUGAACGGAAGCUGAAAUACUUUCAACAAACACACAGAAUCACAAAAUCGUAGGGGUUGAAAAGGACCUCAGGAGGCCAUUGAGUCUAACACCUGUUAAAGCAGGUUCCCUACAGUAGGUUGCACAGAAAAGCAUCCAGUUAGGUUUGAAUAUCUCCAGUGAAGGAGACUCCACAAUUUCUCUGGGCAGCCUGUUCCAGUGCUCUGUCACCCUCACAGUAAAGAAAUUCUUCAUGUUUGUAUGGAACUUUCUGUGUUCCGGUUUUUGCCCAUUGCCUCUUGUUCUAUUGAUGUACACACUGAAAAGAGCCUGGCCCCAUCCACUUGGCUCCUGCCCUUUAGAUAUUUAUAAACACUGAUGAGAUCCCCUCUCAGUUUUCUCUUACCCAGACUGAACAGUCCCAGCUCUCUCAACCCGUCCACAUAAAGGAGAUGCUCCAGGCCCCUCAUCAUCUUUGUGGCCCUCCACUGGACCCUUUCUAGAAGAUCCCUGGUUUUUUUUGUUGUUUUUUUUUUAAACUGUGGAGCCGAGAACUGGAUACAGUAUUCCAGAUGUGGCCCUCAGAUGCAGGACCCUACAUUUGCUCUUGUUGAAGUUCAUCAGGUUUCUCUCCACCCAACUCAUGAUGGAAGAUUGACAAAUGUGCUCCCUGUAGUAUAAACCACCCCAGAGCUGUGGAGAUGAUGUCCCCUUCUUCUUGCAAAAGCCUGUUCAGUAUGGAACAGCCGCACCACAAGGGCUGUGGAGCAGUAGAUAAGGCCAGCUGUGUGCUACCCAGCCCCACCAGGCAGCAUGGGGGAUGCAGCCAGGGGAAGCUCCCUG